UUACAAUUUGCGAGACAUGACAUUCAUAGGGAAAAUUAAGGGAGGGAGUUUUGACUGUGGUUUGUGUGUUUAUGUAUGUUUUUAUGUGUGAGUGUGUGUUUACAGUGUGUGUGUGUGUGAGAGAGAGACAGACAGACAGAGAGAGAGAGAGAGAGAGUGACAGAGAGGGAGAGAUUGUGUGUGUGUUUACAGUGUCUCUGUUUGUGUGUUUUCAUAGCCUGGGGGUAGGAUUAUUACAGGAAUAUUCAGAGUGAAGGACACAGGUUCAAUCUCUGUCAGCGUGCUUCAAACAUCUGCUUUUGUCCCAGCAUCUGCUCAAUAAAACCCCCUUAACGUUACCUCUAGCCAAACAGCAAUUACAGAUGGGCCUCAGGGCAGAGGGGUAAGGGGGCGGGGGGUCGGGGAUUCUGGAAACUCGCAGAAGAGGAGCAGAAUGCCCCCACACCCCCGACAACAACAAAAGUGAGGGCACAGGUAUGGAAAAGGGCCUGCCCAUUACUGUAUGUGAGCUGAUUUCUCCAAACUGAGGAUCUUCUUUGCGGAUCUGAGUGUACAGGUGCUUAAUUAAAAUAUCUGUAAUCUUAAAUUGACUUAAUUCCAAAGCCCCUCUCCGGCAGUUUCACCUCAAUUGCUGAACAAGAAAAUAUGUUUUGCUUGACCACUGUGUCACCACUCUACAUCCAUCAAGUCAAGUCGUAUUUUAUUUAACAAGUCUCAAUACACUUUACAAAAAAUAAAACAGAGAAACAGCAGAUACACAGUGUAUUUGUGUGAUGUGUUAAGGCCUUUUGGUUCCUGUUAGGAACUGUGUGGCAGCAGCAUUUUGUAUGAGUUGAAGAAUGUUUUCAUUGGUAGCGGUACAGCCUGAUAGAAGGUUGUUGCAGUAGUCAAGAGGGAUUUAACGAAGGUAUGGAUUCAUUUCAAUCCGUGUCUCUUUUGCAGCCAAGCCCAACAUCCUCUCAAAACGACAACAACAAGACCUGAGUCCUAGGACUACCUAGCUUGAUGACUCCUGGCUUUCCCCAGUCCACCUGGUCAUGCUGCUGCUCCAGUUUCAACUGUUCUACUUGCAGCUAUGGAACCCUGACCUGUUCACCGGACGUGCUACCUCGUCCCGGACUUGCUGUAUUCGACUCCCCCCCCCCCUCUCCCUUCCUCGCUCUCUCUGUACCGCACCUGCUGUCUCGACCUCUGAAUGCUUGGCUAUGGCCAACUGACUGACAUUUACAGUACUCCUGAGGUGCUGACCUGUUGCACCAUCUACAACCACUGUGAUUAUUAUUUGACCCUGCUGGUCAUCUAUGAAUCUUUGAAAAGCUUGAGGAACGAUCUGGCCUGAAUGGCCAUGUACUCUUAUAAUCUCCACCCGGCAUAGCCAGAAGAGGACUGGCCACCCCUCAGAGCCUGGUUCCUCAUUAGGUUUCUUCCUAUGUUCCUGCCUUGCUAGAGAGGUUUUCCUAGCCACUGUGCUUCUACAUCUGCAUUGCUUGCUGUUUGGGGUUUUAGACUUUCUGUAUAAGCACUUUGUGGCAUCUGCUGAUAUAAAAAGGGCUUUAUAAAUACAUUUGAUUUGAUUUGCAAAUUGAGGUCUGACUUACAUGGACCAGAGGCAUCUAUUUGUUAACAGAUAGCUCUGACAUGGACCAUUGUGAUGCAUUCUUGGAGCUCACCACAGCAGGCUACAUUGGUAGACUCCAUAGACACACCUGCUUAUGAAAAGUCUAGGACCUCCCAUUCAUUACCAGGCAUGUUCUCACACACUACCCCGUUGCCCUGUCAAUCAUUCUAAGGCCAUGCACAUGAACCCUGGUCCCUCUCUAAUUAACGAGCAAGGGAUGUUUAACUUUAUUCCUGAAUGCCAUUAGGUCCUAACGACCCUCCAUUCAUGACCAUGUCGUAUGGCGUCUAAACCCAUACAAUUAAAAUUGGUCCUCUGUAACUCAGUUGUUAGAGCAUGGCACUUGCAACAUCAGGAUAGUGGGUUUGAUUUCUGGGACCACCCACACAUAAAAUGUGUGUAUGCAUGACUAUAAGUCGCUUUGGAUAAAGUCGUCUGCUAAAUAUUAUAUUAUUAUGUGAUGUUGACCAUACACCCCAGUUCUCAACUUAUUAAAUAGUUUAUAC
ensembl:lncRNA